rnacentral:lncRNA from 10 species
CCUGUCCUCUCCUCUUGAAUCACAAGUAGGAGCUUUGCAACUCCCUUGACCAACAGAAUAUCCCACAAAUGAUACUGAGCCAAUUUCUUGUCCCCAAAAUGAAGAUACUGACUGUUUUUAUUUCUCAUCAUUUGGAACAGUCACUCUUGAAACCCAGCUGCCAUGCUAUGAGUAAGUCCAAUUAGCAAAAGUCCCUGAUAGAGAGGAUUUGAGGCCUGCUGACAGCCUUGACUGAGAUUUCAGCCAACACCCAAUAUCAAUUUUGCUAACCGGCCUUAACUUUCUCUAGGAAUGAUCUUACAUCCAUGGAUGUGACUGUCUGAGCAAGUGGAAGAAGCCAUGGUAUAACACAGAUUAAAUUAUCUCAGUGAUGAUGGUAAUCAUUUCCAAAAGAAGGUAGUGGUCCUCUUCCCUGAACUGUAAGAACUGUGAUUUCAUGCACUCCAAGUUGAGAACCCCUGCAGGAUCCUGAGUUGACUAAAUCCUAAUCAGUACGGCAGUCAAAGAUUCCGUAGUGCCUGGCCAUUGUAUGGAAAGAUCAGUCUUCUCAAGGUUAUUAAAAUCUCCCAUAAUAUAUUCACUGUGUACUUACAUGAAUACAAUGAUGUCAACUAAAAUACAAUUUAUUUCAAAUUUUUAAUUUUGUGUUGUCUAUUAAGU